rnacentral:rRNA from 1 species
AUUGAACGCUGGCGGCAUGCCUUACACAUGCAAGUCGAACGGCAGCGCGGGAGCAAUCCUGGCGGCGAGUGGCGAACGGGUGAGUAAUAUAUCGGAACGUGCCCAGUAGUGGGGGAUAGCCCGGCGAAAGCCGGAUUAAUACCGCAUGAGACCUGAGGGUGAAAGCGGGGGAUCGCAAGACCUCGCGCUAUUGGAGCGGCCGAUAUCAGAUUAGCUAGUUGGUGGGGUAAAGGCCUACCAAGGCAACGAUCUGUAGUUGGUCUGAGAGGACGACCAGCCACACUGGGACUGAGACACGGCCCAGACUCCUACGGGAGGCAGCAGUGGGGAAUUUUGGACAAUGGGCGCAAGCCUGAUCCAGCAAUGCCGCGUGAAGGAUGAAGGCCUUCUGGGUUGUAAACUUCUUUUAUGUGGGAAGAAACCUCUGAUUUCUAUUAGAGUUGACGGUACCAUAGGAAUAAGCACCGGCUAACUCCGUGCCAGCAGCCG